rnacentral:rRNA from 1 species
CUCAGGAUGAACGCUGGCGGCGUGCCUAAUACAUGCAAGUCGAGCGAAUGGAUUAAGAGCUUGCUCUUAUGAAGUUAGCGGCGGACGGGUGAGUAACACGUGGGUAACCUGCCCAUAAGACUGGGAUAACUCCGGGAAACCGGGGCUAAUACCGGAUAACAUUUUGAACCGCAUGGUUCGAAAUUGAAAGGCGGCUUCGGCUGUCACUUAUGGAUGGACCCGCGUCGCAUUAGCUAGUUGGUGAGGUAACGGCUCACCAAGGCAACGAUGCGUAGCCGACCUGAGAGGGUGAUCGGCCACACUGGGACUGAGACACGGCCCAGACUCCUACGGGAGGCAGCAGUAGGGAAUCUUCCGCAAUGGACGAAAGUCUGACGGAGCAACGCCGCGUGAGUGAUGAAGGCUUUCGGGUCGUAAAACUCUGUUGUUAGGGAAGA